rnacentral:rRNA from 1 species
CAACUUUCAACAACGGAUCUCUUGGCUCUCGCAUCGAUGAAGAACGCAGCGAAAUGCGAUACGUAAUGUGAAUUGCAGAAUUCAGUGAAUCAUCGAAUCUUUGAACGCACCUUGCGCCCCUUGGCAUUCCGAGGGGCACACCCGUUUGAGUGUCGA